CCAGCCCCGGCCCGCCUGCUCCGGCCUCUGGCUCUCGUUUAUUUCUCUAAAGAAAAAAAAAAGAAAACCGCUUUAUUUUAGAAGUUUGUAAAGCGCCCUCGUCUGAGUGAUCCCACCUGGGUUUGGGGUUCGCAGACCUUCCUCCCCGUUGAAUGGGCAACGGAGACGGGAACUGGCUCGUUGGACCAACGUUUUGUGAGCAGGUAAAUCAGAGGCACUGGCACCAGGAACGGAAAUACACAGGAAACGGCCGAUGCAGAAGCAGAACCGAAGUCCAGCAUGUGGUGAAUUUAACAGUAGAGAAUAUAUUAUUUCCCAAACCACCUAACUUUUACUCAUGCUUGUAUUAUAGUAAGAUGUGUAGGGUUUUUUUAAAAUAAAUAUUGGCGAUUUGCUCCUGAAAAUGUAAAUUGUUUAUUGCCUGCCCUAAACCAUG